UAUAUACUCCCUCCGUCCAGAAUUACUUGUCAUUAAAAUGGAUGAAAAUGAAUGUAUCUAGAACUAAAAUACAUCUAGAUACAUCCAUUUCAAUGACAAGUAUUUCCGGACGGAGGGAGUAUCUU
rnacentral:pre_miRNA from 1 species